CAUUUGACAAGACUUUCUUCUUCAAUGAAUCCUUGUGUUUAUCAGAGGAGAAUACCUUAAUCACAAGAUUAAGCCUUUAAGUGUUCUAAGAGGGGCUAUCAGGCCUAAGAUUGUCUGGACACUUGCUCUUUGAAACAUUAGAAAGACCAUGGGCACUGUCUUGGCAACAAGAGAUCAGGGGACACAGAAGCCAUCAACAGACAAUUCAGAGGAUGGAGGGAUAGUAGAUUAAGAGCUGCAAGGGGCCUUGGAGACAGUGAUUGCUGCCUUUUUGAUAGCAUUUUUGACUCCAUCCCUGGAAGAGACGGACCAGAAUCAACUCCUGAAUAAAACCCAUGAGGACCACAGCACCAAUAUCAAUAUCCGUGGCAGCAUCAUUUUCAUUCAUGACACUAAUCCUUGGAGUGAAUGGGAUGCCAUAUUGAAUUACAACCGUGGUUAUUUGGCUGCCAAACUGUUUAGCAAGCAGGCUUGUGUGCUAACCAAGAUGGACAAAGUUAUGUUCCCCAGUCUGGAAAUACUCCACAAAGCCUUGGAUAAACAGUUACCUAGGAAUUAUGGCUCCUCAAAAGGUCUCACCUACAUCAUUUUACCCCCUCGGAUUAAAAAUGUUGCUCAAUAUGGAAAAACUAUUACUGAUCUGUGUAGAGGGGUUCCUACAUACUUUGCACAUCAACACAUUGAGGGCACUGCUCUGGCACUAAAUCCUGAAUCCUGCUUUAAAGCACGAAUUUUUGCAAACACGUAUCGUUUUGGCAUCUCCAUCUGUGGGGAGAUUCCAGGUCUUUGAUGACAAUUUUCAGUUACUGGAUAGCUGGAGCACCUGCUUCUUUGCUAAGGAACCAUCGUCCCUUGCUUCUCAAGGGAGAAGCUGUUCUGCCUCUACCCUGGAAACCAAACUUUAAGUUUCAAUAAAGUAAUUUUAAGAAAGUAAUAUAA